AGUGAACGCUGGCGGUAGGCCUAACACAUGCAAGUCGAACGGCAGCACAGGAGAGCUUGCUCUCUGGGUGGCGAGUGGCGGACGGGUGAGGAAUACAUCGGAAUCUACUCUGUCGUGGGGGAUAACGUAGGGAAACUUACGCUAAUACCGCAUACGACCUACGGGUGAAAGCAGGGGAUCUUCGGACCUUGCGCGAUUGAAUGAGCCGAUGUCGGAUUAGCUAGUUGGCGGGGUAAAGGCCCCCCAAGGGGACGAUCCGUAGCUGGUCUGAGAGGAUGAUCAGCCACACUGGAACGGAGACACGGUCCAGACUCCUACGGGGGGCAGCAGUGGGGAAUAUUGGACAAUGGGCGCAAGCCUGAUCCAGCCAUACCGCGUGGGUGAAGAAGGCCUUCGGGUUGUAAAGCCCUUUUGUUGGGAAAGAAAUCCAGCUGGCUAAUACCCGGUUGGGAUGACGGUACCCAAAGAAUAAGCACCGGCUAACUUCGUGCCAGCCGCCGCCGUAA
rnacentral:rRNA from 1 species